rnacentral:tmRNA from 1 species
CAUGUAGUGCCGACGGUGUAGUAAUUCUGGACGCGGGUUCAACUCCCGCCAGCUCCACCA